GAGAGAGAAGGAAAUAUAAUAAGAGAAAAGGAAUGGGAAGCCCCUUUCUCUUUCUCUCUUCUUCCUUCUUCCCGACGAAAAGGGGAGAAGAGGGUUCGGCAGCAGGUGGCCCGCGGCCGGCGACGCCCCACGGUCGUCGGCCUGUGGCGGUGCCGGCGGUGCCACGCCCGGCGACGGCCGGUCGGAACGAGAGAGAGAAGAAGGCCGAACAGGGCUCGGCUUCUCCUUCAAUCCGGCGACUUCCUGGCUACAUUCCCAAAAAGGUAAUGGCCAAAAAUGAUGGAGGAGGAGGAGAAGGUGCUCACCUUGCCCCCGGCGAGGUUCUCCCGACCGGAUCGACGGCGAACGGUCCGAUCCCUCCCGCGGCAAGCUUCCAUCGGCAGUCCGGAUCUUGAUAGGAGCGCUUGAAGGGAGCAAGGAACAAGCAAUAGAACAAAUAUUCACCACCGUCCAACUGCUGGAAGAUGCUUUCACGAAAUGUUGCAAAGGGAAAAAAUUCUUCGGCGGGGAGACUAUUGGCUACAUCGAUAUCGCCUUUGGUAGCUGGUUGGGGUGGCUAAAGGCAGUUGAGAAGAUGUUCGGCAUCAAAUUUUUUGACGGAGAAAAGUUACCUCUUUUGUUUGGAUGGGCGGAGCGUUUCUGGUCCAACGAUGCCGUGGUCGUUAUUAUGCCACAGGUCGAUAUGUUGAUAGAAUACAGCAAGGCUUUUGAAAAAAAGAAUUGAGCAUGGUUCUAGCAGCCGUAUAUGCGACCCUGCAGAAAGCACUACUCUGUUUUAUUCAGUGGGAAAGCUUGAGCCCUGAGGAAAACAAAGACAGCUACCAAUUACUGCGGGAUCUUCUUGGCCCUAUUCUAUUGAGUUUAUAUCUCUGCAACUUCUUGUUCUCCUCUGUUCUUGGUUGUAACCUGUUGCUUUCAUUUUGUUCACCUCUGUUUUUGGUGGUUCUGUGGCACCGCAACAUGUUAUCUCUGUUCCAUUGUAAUCUCUGCUCUUUUGAUGUUGCUGGGGGCGUCAGCAAUAUAUCACCUAAAUAAAUAAAUAAAAUUAUAAUUGCAAUUAAUAGAAAA